AACGAACGCUGGCGGCAUGCCUAACACAUGCAAGUCGAACGAGACCUUCGGGUCUAGUGGCGCACGGGUGCGUAACGCGUGGGAACCUGCCUUUAGGUUCGGAAUAACUCAGAGAAAUUUGAGCUAAUACCGGAUGAUGUCUUCGGACCAAAGAUUUAUCGCCUUUAGAUGGGCCCGCGUUGGAUUAGCUAGUUGGUGGGGUAAAGGCCUACCAAGGCGACGAUCCAUAGCUGGUCUGAGAGGAUGAUCAGCCACACUGGGACUGAGACACGGCCCAGACUCCUACGCGACGAAGCAGUGGGGAAAAUUGGACAAUGGGCGAAAGCCUGAUCCAGCAAUGCCGUGUGAGUGAUGAAGGCCUUAGGGUUGUAAAGCUCUUUUACCCGAGAUGAUAAUGACAGUAUCGGGAGAAUAAGCUCCGGCUAACUCCGUG
rnacentral:rRNA from 1 species